GAUGAACGCUGGCGGCGUGCCUAAUACAUGCAAGUCGAGCGAACAGAUAAGGAGCUUGCUCCUUUGACGUUAGCGGCGGACGGGUGAGUAACACGUGGGUAACCUACCUAUAAGACUGGGAUAACUUCGUGAAACCGGAGCUAAUACCGGAUAACAUUUGGAACCGCAUGGUUCUAAAGUGAAAGAUGGUUUUGCUAUCACUUAUAGAUGGACCCGCGCCGUAUUAGCUAGUUGGUAAGGUAACGGCUUACCAAGGCGACGAUACGUAGCCGACCUGAGAGGGUGAUCGGCCACACUGGAACUGAGACACGGUCCAGACUCCUACGGGAGGCAGCAGUAGGGAAUCUUCCGCAAUGGGCGAAAGCCUGACGGAGCAACGCCGCGUGAGUGAUGAAGGGUUUCGGCUCGUAAACCUCUGUUAUUAGGAAAGAACAAAUGUGUAAGUAACUGUGCACGUCUUGACGGUACCUAAUCAGAAAGCCACGGCUAACUACGUG
rnacentral:rRNA from 1 species